GUCAUCCCGACUUACCAACCCUUUGCAAACUCCGAAUACCGUAAAGUAAUAUCCGGGAGACACACGGCGGGUGCUAACGUCCGUCGUGAAGAGGGAAACAACCCAGACCGCCAGCUAAGGUCCCAAAGUCAUAGUUAAGGGGGAAACGAUGUGGAAAGGCCCAGACAGCCAGGAGGUUGGCUUAGAAGCAGCCAUCCUUUAAAGAAAGCGUAAUAGCUCACUGGUCGAGUCGGUCUGCGCGGAAGAUGUAACGGGGCUAAACUAUGCACCGAAGCUGCGGAUUCAUCUUAGGAUGAGUGGUAGGGGAGCGUUCUGUAAGCGGUUGAAGG
rnacentral:rRNA from 1 species